rfam:Clostridium saccharolyticum WM1, complete genome.
GCGGGUAUGGCGGAAUUGGCAGACGCGCCAGAUUUAGGUUCUGGUGGGAGACCGUGCAGGUUCAAGUCCUGUUACCCGCA